GACGAACGCUGGCGGCGUGCCUAAUACAUGCAAGUAGAACGCUGAAGAGAGGAGCUUACUCUUCUUGGAUGAGUUGCGAACGGGUGAGUAACGCGUAGGUAACCUGCCUUGUAGCGGGGGAUAACUAUUGGAAACGAUAGCUAAUACCGCAUAACAAUGGAUGACACAUGUCAUUUAUUUGAAAGGGGCAUUGCUCCACUACAAGAUGGACCUGCGUUGUAUUAGCUAGUAGGUGAGGUAAUGGCUCACCUAGGCGACGAUACAUAGCCGACCUGAGAGGGUGAUCGGCCACACUGGGACUGAGACACGGCCCAGACUCCUACGGGAGGCAGCAGUAGGGAAUCUUCGGCAAUGGGGGCAACCCUGACCGAGCAACGCCGCGUGAGUGAAGAAGGUUUUCGGAUCGUAAAGCUCUGUUGUAAGUCAAGAACGGGUGUGAGAGUGGAAAGUUCACACUGUGACGGUAGCUUACCAGAAAGGGACGGCUAACUACGUG
rnacentral:rRNA from 1 species